AAGUCGUAACAAGGUUUCCGUAGGUGAACCUGCGGAAGGAUCAUUACAAAUCGGUGUAUUGGUUGUGGGGUUGGUUUGUUGGUGGUGGGGUUGGAUGGGUGGGUAUUUAUGCCUGCCCUACCCUUCACCACAACGCUACCAACUAACUAACUCCACCAACCACACAUUUGCGCUUGUUGUGUUUGACAGAGUAAACUAUUCACAAAUGAGACAACUUUUAACAACGGAUCUCUUGGCUCUU
rnacentral:misc_RNA from 1 species